AAAUUCAGAAAUUCUUGUGUGCAAUUAUUAUUGCAAUUUUGUCAUUUUAUACUAAAAUGCAAUUUUUAUUUUUACAAUAUUGAGAAAAUACUGUGUAAGUCAAAUAAAAAAUUUCAAAAUGCAAAUUUAAAUUAUUGCGAUUAUAACCUAAUUGCAUUUUUUGCAAUAAUAUAAACAUGGAAUUGAUUCCUGAAUUAACAGUAGACAAUUCAUAAGCUUUUACAUCCAUUCCAAUUUUUUUUAUUCAUUCCAGUACAAUUAUGCUUGUUAUUAUAUUUUUUGCUUUUUGUAUAAAACUGCCAUAUUUAUUUAUUGCCUUGAACUUUAAUAAAACUGGUGUGCUGUUUGUGACGAUUUGUUUGAAUCUAUAGUUUGUUUGUGACUGAGAGAGACUUAAGCCUUAACUCGUAAGUAGUGUUGCUAAGUGUUGGGUAAAAUAGUCUCGCUUGAAAUGGCGUUCAGCAGCUGUGUUUUUUUUCCUAAGCAAACAUUUUUAUACAUGAAUUUUUAUUUUAUCUGCCAUAUUAAGAGUUAAAAUGAUUCCCUGUUUAUUUAUUUUUUUUCUAAUUCUGUCACAAAACAAAACAUUUUAUGUUAUAAUUUCAAAUAUAAAGAUUGUGUUUUCCAAUGUCACUAAUUAAAUUGAAACAGCUUAGUUCAAUCUUUGUAAUUUCCAGUAAGGCUGUAACCAAACUGUCCUCAAUACUUAUCAACUUAUAGUGAGGAUUGUAUAAAGUAGACCCAAGGAAGGGGAAAUAAAUAUCAAUAGUAUGUUUAGUUCUUCCAUUUUAAUAAAUUCUGUUUCAUUUCACAUGAAUACCUAAAAAGAAUUGUGGUAUCUGGCUAAUACAAACUAAGUACUGAUCUAAAAAUUAUUAUCUCCCUUUAGCUAUGUUUAAACCAUUUAAUUGUAUUACUUUACCUCAUCAUUACACACAUUGCUUGGUGAGCUCAAUACAAUUGAGAAUGGAAAUGGGAAUGUGUCAAAGAGACAACAACCCAACCAUAGAGCAGACAACAGCCGAAGGCCACCAAUGUACUCUCCAAGGCAUUUUUUAUACUGAAUGCUUAAAUAUGUUUUGUGACAUUCUUAAGGAAAGUGGGCUUUGAAAAUAAGAGUUUUGUGAGUAACUUGACUGGAUUGAAGGAAAUGGGGUAAUAUUUAUACUCAAAUUUUAUAUUAUUUAAAUGGCAUUUUCUUUUUAUUUCUUUAGUGUUAUCUGGUUUCUAACUAAAUAUUUUACAUAUAAUUGUUCGCAAAUUAUUUGUUUAUGAUUUAUUAUUAUUUUAAAUCUUAUCUAUUACCUCAAAUUAAGUUAUGAUUGUUUUCUAACAGAGAAUGUGUACCAAAAAACAACUUUAAAAGGAAAGUUCUAGUCUAAAACAGAAAAAAAACUAUUGUAAAAAUUCUUAUUUGAUUGGAAUUAUACCAACUUAGCCUCAAGUUUCUAUUUGGUUUCCAAAACAUGAGAGGAAAACCAAUUUUGAAGUGCCUUUGUUCCUUUGUUUUCUAAAUGUGUACUUCAUUAGUGCAAUAAACAAUGAUGUGCAAUUACAGAACUUUAUCCAAUUGAUUGUUACAGAAUUUAAUGCAUUAUGGGUAAACUUUAUCCAAUU
rnacentral:lncRNA from 1 species